AUUGAACGCUGGCGGCAGGCCUAACACAUGCAAGUCGAGCGGAUGAAGGGAGCUUGCUCCUGGAUUCAGCGGCGGACGGGUGAGUAAUGCCUAGGGAUCUGCCUGGUAGUGGGGGAUAACGUCCGGAAACGGGCGCUAAUACCGCAUACGUCCUGAGGGAGAAAGUGGGGGAUCUUCGGACCUCACGCUAUCAGAUGAGCCUAGGUCGGAUUAGCUAGUUGGUGGGGUAAAGGCCUACCAAGGCGGCGAUCCGUAACUGGUCUGAGAGGAUGAUCAGUCACACUGGAACUGAGACACGGUCCAGACUCCUACGGGAGGCAGCAGUGGGGAAUAUUGGACAAUGGGCGAAGGCCUGAUCCAGCCAUGCCGCGUGUGUGAAGAAGGUCUUCGGAUUGUAAAGCACUUUAAGUUGGGAGGAAGGGCAGUAAGUUAAUACCUUGCUGUUUUGACGUUACCAACAGAAUAAGCACCGGCUAACUUCGUGCCAGCAGCCGCGGUAAUACGAAGGGUGCAAGCGUUAAUCGGAAUUACUGGGCGUAAAGCGCGCGUAGGUGGUUCAGCAAGUUGGAUGUGAAAUCCCCGGGCUCAACCUGGGAACUGCAUCCAAAACUAUUGAGCUAGAGUACGGUAGAGGGUGGUGGAAUUUCCUGUGUAGCGGUGAAAUGCGUAGAUAUAGGAAGGAACACCAGUGGCGAAGGCGACCACCUGGACUGAUACUGACACUGAGGUGCGAAAGCGUGGGGAGCAAACAGG
rnacentral:rRNA from 1 species